UACAGAGGGGGCAAGCGUUGUUCGGAAUUACUGGGCGUAAAGGGCGCGUAGGCGGCCUUCUAAGUCGAACGUGAAAUCCCCGGGCUCAACCCGGGAACUGCGUCUGAUACUGGAUGGCUUGAAUCCGGGAGAGGGAUGCGGAAUUCCAGGUGUAGCGGUGAAAUGCGUAGAUAUCUGGAGGAACACCGGUGGCGAAGGCGGCAUCCUGGACCGGCAUUGACGCUGAGGAGCGAAAGCCAGGGGAGCAAACGGG
rnacentral:rRNA from 1 species